rnacentral:rRNA from 1 species
UACGUAGGGGGCAAGCGUUGUCCGGAUUCAUUGGGCGUAAAGAGCGUGUAGGCGGCCAGGUAGGUCGGUUGUGAAAACUGGAGGCUCAACCUUCAGAGGUCGACCGAAACCAUCUGGCUAGAGUCCGGGAGAGGAGAGUGGAAUUCCUGGUGUAGCGGUGAAAUGCGCAGAGAUCCGGAAGAACACCGGUGGCGAAGGCGGCCUGCUGGGACAGUGCUGACGCUGAAGCGCGACAGCGUGGGGAGCAAACAGG